GUGCCAGCCGCCGCGGUAAUACGUAGGGUGCAAGCGUUAAUCGGAAUUACUGGGCGUAAAGCGUGCGCAGGCGGUUUUGUAAGUCUGUCGUGAAAGCCCCGGGCUCAACCUGGGAAUUGCGAUGGAGACUGCAAGGCUUGAAUCUGGCAGAGGGGGGUAGAAUUCCACGUGUAGCAGUGAAAUGCGUAGAGAUGUGGAGGAACACCGAUGGCGAAGGCAGCCCCCUGGGUCAAGAUUGACGCUCAUGCACGAAAGUGUGGGGAGCAAACAGGAUUAGAU
rnacentral:rRNA from 1 species